UACGGAGGUUCCAAGCGUUGUUCGGAAUUACUGGGCGUAAAGGGAGCGCAGGCGGAUAGGUCAGUCUAAAGUGGAAGCCCGGGGCUUAACCUCGGAAGUGCUUUGGAUACUGCCUGUCUUGAGUUCGUGAGAGGAAAGCGGAAUUCAGGGUGUAGCGGUGAAAUGCUUAGAUAUCCUGAGGAACACCAAUGGCGAAAGCAGCUUUCUGGCGCGAAACUGACGCUGAGGCUCGAAAGCGUGGGUAGCGAACGGGAUUAGAUACCCCGGUAGUCCACGCCGUAAACGUUGUGCACUAGGUGCAGGAGGUAUCGACCCCUUCUGUGCCGGAGCUAACGCAUUAAGUGCACCGCCUGGGGAGUACGCUCGCAAGAGUGAA
rnacentral:rRNA from 1 species